AUUCCGAUCCGGUGUACGAGUAGCUUUGUAAAAAAACGAAGAGAAUACUCACGAGAGCGAACAUGUUGGGAUAGUUUGGUUGAUUGUCCCCGGAGGUAUUUGCAGGUAGACGAAGUUCAGCUGACUGUGCAGAACUAGCCCCGUCCGCCCUCUUAUAUACCUAGCUGAUCUCUUGCCGUUCUAUCUAGCCUUUGCAUACGAGAGAAUGGUAAGAGUCCGGCUCUGGCUAGUCGGCGGUCGGCGUUGCUCGGGUCCGUUUACCUUCGCGAGUGUUUACGCGAAAUAAAAACACCACUUACAAAGUGGG
rnacentral:misc_RNA from 1 species